GAUAUAUUAGGGUUUCAUAUAAUUUUUAGCCAAUUUAUAAGACUAUAUUUACACACACACCCAUAUAUAUAUAGGGGUGUCAAAAUGGGUAACCCAACUCAACUCAACUCAUAAUCAAAUGAGUUUAGGGUUAAAUGAGUUAUGGAUUGACCCAACUCAUUUAAUUUGAUGGGUUGAGUUGUUAAAUGGGUUAACCCAUUUAAGUAAUAAUUUAAUUAA
rnacentral:sRNA from 1 species